rnacentral:rRNA from 1 species
UACGUAGGGGGCAAGCGUUGUCCGGAAUCAUUGGGCGUAAAGAGCGUGUAGGCGGCUCGGUAAGUCUGCUGUGAAAGUCCAGGGCUCAACCCUGGGAUGCCGGUGGAUACUGUCGAGCUCGAGUCCGGAAGAGGCGAGUGGAAUUCCUGGUGUAGCGGUGAAAUGCGCAGAUAUCAGGAGGAACACCGAUGGCGAAGGCAGCUCGCUGGGACGUGACUGACGCUGAGACGCGAAAGCGUGGGGAGCAAACAGG